AUGGAGAGGAGGUUCUCCUCCUCGUCCCGCACUCCUCCGGGAGCCGACGGCAACCUCGCCGUCCCGCGCGUUGCAUAUACCCGUCCCACUUCGCAACCCCCGAUGCCCCCCGCCCGUGCCCCCUUAUAUUUCCCCGCCACCGGCCCAUGGCCAGCUCUCCCGGGCUCUCCGCAGCCGGUGCGCCGCGCGCUCGUCCGGGGAAUGCGCGCUCCGUCGCCGCUGCCGGAUCGGGCCCCGCAGCUCCGCGAUCUCCAGGCCCAGCAGGGCCGGGCCGAGCCGGGUCAUGCGAGCAUCCCGGGGCUGCGGUGGCGAGGAACUAGGGCGAGGAGAGCUAUUCUGCACUCUUCGGUCUUUCCUUUCGAUUUCUUUCGUUUUCUUUCGUUUCGUUUCGUUUCACCCGCCAGUAACGGGAGGCGAGCGGCUCCACAGAGUCACCACGCAGCCGUGCAGGCGGUUGAAGCUCUGAGCGAGCCUACAGAGACCCCUGUGCACUGCGACUCUCUCGGCAACGGGGCUGCGCCAAAUGCCGAGCGAGCACCCCUGUGCGGUUCUGGGGAGUGUGCCGCGACCCUGCGGCUGCAGCCUGCGGCCCCAGAACCCUACCAGGGCUCAGCGCCGCCGAGCCGCGGGGAGCGAGCUCAUCGAAGGAGGGACGGGGAGUCCCGGGAGAGAUCUUUCGUUGUGAUUAAAAUCCUGCUGCCCCGCAGGGAUCGGAUCAGCGCCGAGGCAGUACCCCAGGGAGCCGGGCCCGCAGGGCGGGCAGGUGAGUGUCCCGCUGCCGGGUAUUCGCGGGGCCUUCCGGGGAGCUUCUCCCGGGUCUCUACCCUCAGUCGGCUCCGCCGUUUACCGGCUCUGUCCGUGCCCUCGUUUCCCCGGCUCCUGCCGCUCCGCACGCCCCGGGAAAAAAACAUUUUCCUGCGGCGCAGGCUGGGACGGGAGCCCCGGUCCCGCUCACUUCGACAGAGCUCGGGUGCUCCCGGUUCCGCGGUGGGAUCGGUUCCCUUUCCCCCAGGGCGACGAAUCGUUCCCACCGCGCCGCUUCAAACCCGUGGCCAUAAAUCGUGGCGGAUCGGUCUCUCUUGCCGGUCCCUCUGCUCGCCGCCUUCCUUCUGUUCUGAAGCCGCCCGAUGCGGACGGUGGAAGGGGAAAUGCGCUCGCCAUAACCAGGCCCGAUCGGGCUCCGGCUCUGCCCCGUGCCCCCGGUGCGCGGAGAAGCCCGGCGCUGGGUCCUCGGUAACAAUUAUUAGCAGUCGUCGCCUUUUCGGUUUUACAGAUCCGGCCCGGCCCGGUGAGGGCGAGGGCCCAGCGGGGUCUGACUUGCCCGGCGCCAUAGGACAGGCCGUGCGCGGUGCACGACAUAGAGGCACGGGGCGCCCGAACCGGACAAAAUCGACUCUUCGGGGCCGAAGCAUGGAGCAAAGGUGCUCCCAGAAAGCUGUGGGUUUUGCUCUAGCAAAGGGAAACCACAGGGCCCCUCUCAAUCGUGCUGCCACGGGCACACAGAGUGCUCGGGGAAUCCAUACCCCGCGGAAGGAGCGAGCAGCAGCUGGGACCUGA
rnacentral:lncRNA from 14 species